ACGCGGCCGUUGCGUCACGGGGGUGGGACGGUGCCAUGGCGGCUGUGGGGUGGAGGGCACGUGCGUGAAGGCAGCGCUUUCCUCUGGCUUCCGGCGAGCCGCGGCAUGGACUUCCCUGCUGUCGUCGUGCUCCCUGAUGCCAGCUCCUCCUUCCUCCCGCCGCUGGACAUGCACAACACCAUCCCAUGGCCUCUGCCCGCUGGCCAGAGAAAGGUUAGUAGUUUCAUUCGUUUUUCCUUGAAGCCGAGAGUAGAUUAAUAAAUUAUCUCGCCCACUAUACCAUACCGUGGAAUGAUCUCGGAUCCUUGCGUUGGCGCAUAAGCAUUAUUUUCGUUGAUUCAUGCCUCAGAUCUAGCAUAAAUAGGAUAAUCCAAAAAGCCUGACCACCAACUGUUUGUGUUUAUGCUCACAACAAAGCUUUUCAUUCUCUAUUUUGAUGGUCUGAAUAUUCCAAUCGAGGAGAAAUCUGUUAGUGCCCUGAGUUCAUCGAUUCUAUGCAGCUAUAAAGUUGAAUGAAUCAGCCAAAAAGUUACGGCCCAGAGCCCUAGACAAACAAAAAAUUAUGCAGGGAAAUCACCUAAAUCAACAGCAGCCAUGGGCUGUUCAGAUGGGGUGGGCGGCCUCGAUCCCAUGCAAAUACGCAGCUCGUAGACGGCCAACAGCGGGGCAGGUAAGGAAAUGCAUGUUUACGCUUUAGAAUGCAUGCUUUCCAGGAUAGAAAUGGACUCUACAGUAAUACCAGUGAUAAAUGCUGAAAAUUUUCUGACAAUACAGAAACCCAGGAAGCAACAAACUACACUGCAAAAUUUAAUAAUAGGUGCAAGACAAGGAAUAAUUGAUCCAGUAUGAAAAAGAAAUAGUCAAUAUACUGUUCUUAUGUAGAUAUGUAAAUUUUAUCCAAUUUUUUUGUUCACACGCAACAAAAAAAUAUUAUUAGUGUCAGGAAAAUGUAAUGGGUGCAUGGGAAACAAUAUUUCUGCUUCAAACAUGUUAGUUACGGCACAAACAAUUGUUGCAUUACAAAAAAGAAAAUGUAUGGUAUAUGAAGCAAAUAAAUAUUCAUAACAGUGCGGUUGUAUUUGGAAAGAGCAACUUGCAAGACUAAACAGAUUCCUUAUAAUUAGAAGGAGAAUAACGAGGCGAGUCUAAGCUGUUAGGAACACAUAAAGAAGAGGCAUAAUCUGCAGUUUCACUUUGACAACAAGAAUAUACCUAAAUGUUAUGCUCCAGAAAGUCAGAAAAGGACAAGAAUUAAUACCAUUGUCAAUAGGUAUCUGGAAGUUGGAUGUGCAGGGAUUUGGUGAACACGACCUCGAUCUGCACGGAUCCGGUGACGGUGACCUCGAUCUGCACGAAUCCGGCUAUGACAAGUUGGAGCUAUGGAAGGGACGAUCAUGGCAACGACGCCAUCGCUACAGAUCGACACGCAUGAACGCAUGAUGCGGGACAGGGCAUCUGUGAGACAUAUGGAUGAUGCACGUGAACGGAUUGGCACUGCCAUCUUCACUGCACCGAAGGAGAUCAAGCCCAUUUCCAUCAGCGUCAACUAGAACCUCCCCUCGACCUGCAUCCUUGUCCUUUCUUUUUUCUCUCCCCAAGAUAAGUUGGCAUGCUCCCUGUUCCUGCAUAAGGGCGGUGAGAUGGAUAUGGGUUUGGUAUUACAUGUUGAUGAACUGCUCAUUUGCCAGACUGUCAAACCAGACGAGCCUGAAAGGAACUAAGAGAAAUGACUAUUCAUUUACCAGUCUUGUCAUUCUCUGUAUUGUCAAUUUGUCAAUUCGACUGAUGCUUGAGUGUAUUAGUAGACAAAAUGACCUGUUUGUUGAUCAGCUAUGAUAUGUGUUUCCACUGGCUACUUGCCGCUUUCUGAGGGGUGGAUUUUAGCUUGAGAAUAUUUUUGCGAAAACAUAGCGGUGUUCUUGCUCUAAUGGAAAUUCAGAGUAGGGUGUUCCAAACUAGAUUGAUGCACGUAGGAAUUUGUGACUGAGUGUUAUGUUCAGAGCUACAUACAUGCUCACAGCGCUUCACCAAUCCUAGAACUUUCAUUUCAUUUUUUGUCUUGCUAUAAUCUGUCCAUUAAUCGGUAUUCUAGCUCCAUUAAUCAGUAUUCUAGCUGAAAGUUUCAAAGUUGUCAAUUGUUUUCGAAACUCGGUUCGCAGAGUGGCUGGUCCUUUUUUGGGACAUAUUGGGUUGAUUCAUUUCCCCAUUUUGUCUUGUAUUUUGUCAUACACAGUUCAAUUAGCUAAUUGUUAUUAUGCCAUAGCUAAAUUGUGCAACCUAUUGCCGCUCUGCCAUGGGUCACAUGGCCAUCCUUCAUACACUGCUUCACUAGGACUAACGCCGAAGUACAGAUGAUGGUAUGUAAGUUUUCACUAUUUCCUCAGUUGGUCUUUUUGUUUUUCCACGGUUUUCUAACUGGGUCCUCACACAUUUUUUGUGUGUGUACAUUACGGGCCACCUAGAAAAUUCCAAAAGAAGUUGCCUCUUGUUUGGACACCCCGAAGCACGGGCUGGCAAGACUAAGAUUGGGCAAAAAGAGCUUCAGGAGGACCGUUUAUGACACCUCACUCGACAGUCUAUUCUUCAAGCAAGGAUGGAAGAAGUUCCUCAUGAGACAUGACAUGAGAUUGGCACUGCUAUACUAAUUACAUUUAAGACCGUCGCCAACAAUGAGUUGGAGAUUAUAGGCAUCCUUUUAUGUCCUCUGAGAAGAUCAUGUUGGACGAGUUCCAGGCUUUCAUGAGUUUCUCUGCGUUUUUUUAAACCAUGGAGGCUGCAUGUGAACUUCAUAGAUGCGAGAAGAAAAGAAUAAAGGCACGUACAGAAUUCAAUUCCUCUUCUGUU